GGAGUUAGCCGGUGCUUCUUCUGCGAGUAACGUCACAGAUGUAAGGUAUUAACUUACACCCUUUCCUCCUCGCUGAAAGUGCUUUACAACCCGAAGGCCUUCUUCACACACGCGGCAUGGCUGCAUCAGGGUUUCCCCCAUUGUGCAAUAUUCCCCACUGCUGCCUCCCGUAGGAGUCUGGGCCGUGUCUCAGUCCCAGUGUGGCUGAUCAUCCUCUCAGACCAGCUAGGGAUCGUCGCCUAGGUGAGCCUUUACCUCACCUACUAGCUAAUCCCACCUGGGCUUAUCCAUCAGCGCAAGGCCCGAAGGUCCCCUGCUUUCCCCCGUAGGGCGUAUGCGGUAUUAGCAGUCGUUUCCAACUGUUAUCCCCCACAAAUGGGCAAAUUCCCAGGCAUUACUCACCCGUCCGCCGCUCGUCAUCUUCAAAAGCAAGCUUUUGAAAUGUUACCGCUCGACUUGCAUGUGUUAGGCCUGCCGCCAGCGUUCAAUCUGAGCCAGAAUCGAAACCUNACUACGAGACGGCGGUCGUCGGACGGACGGCGACUAGU
rnacentral:rRNA from 1 species